rnacentral:rRNA from 1 species
UACGUAGGGGGCAAGCGUUAUCCGGAAUUACUGGGUGUAAAGGGAGCGUAGACGGUAAUGUAAGUCUGGAGUGAAAGGCGGGGGCCCAACCCCCGGACUGCUCUGGAAACUAUGUUACUAGAGUGCAGGAGAGGUAGGCGGAAUUCCUAGUGUAGCGGUGAAAUGCGUAGAUAUUAGGAGGAACACCAGUGGCGAAGGCGGCUUACUGGACUGUAACUGACGUUGAGGCUCGAAAGCGUGGGGAGCAAACAGG